CCACUGAUUUCUAGUCGUGUCCGCUUUUGGAAGGCCAAACAAAGUAUUUUCGCUUUUGCAAUGAAACACACAACGCCUUCACAACAAGGCGGCGGCGACAAUACUACAGAGA